CAAUUAGACAAGGGAGGCGGGACUAGAGGGUUUUCAAAAGGCACCACUCGGCGUCUUAGCGGAGAGACGGACAGGGAAUCUGGCGAAUGAGGAGGAGUCUAUUUGUUCUCUCGGUGCAGACUACCCCGAAGAGACUCGGGGGGCCAGCGGGGUUUUCUGAGGUCCUUCUCUUGGCUUCAGUCCAGCCUCUCCUGCAACUCCUUCCUCCAUGUCCCAGCACCUUUAGCUCUCUCAGGUUUGCUGUCAAGGGGGCAAGUCUGGCUUUGGGGUUGGAACCCAUCCUUUCAGUUCCCAUUUUAUUCCCACAAGCGCUUCAAGAGGCAGAAUAGGUGGAGAUGAUGUACCUCCAUUUUAUAGUUAGGGACAAUUCCAGCUCUAAGGGGUGGUGUCCAAGUUCAUACAAUACGUUGGCGCCUCAGUGAUGAUGGAGGGGGAUAGAGCUAGGGGAAGUUUUCUGAAUCAGGUGCAGGCUGGGCUUCCCCCGGGGACGUAAAGAGCCUGGCUCUGUUUGCCCUUAUCCAAGACAGAAAAGACCCCAGUUUGUCUGUGAGAUAGCAGGGAGAGAAUCCCAGAAUCUUGUCCCCGGGCCCUCCCGCCCCCCACCCCGUCAGAACUCUCCAGAUCUUCUGCAGUCUUGAUAGUUGCCAGUAGGUGCCGUCAGUUUGCAACUUUUAUGUUCUGUCCCUACAAGUUCAGCUUCCAGCCCCUCUCUUCUUCCUAUCACCUGGACAGUUUACACUUGGAGAAAGUGGAAGGGGGCCUACUUGCUGGGAGACUGAAAGAUCGCUGUCCUGGGAGUCUGGAAGAUGGUCUCUGAUCUGUACUUUGGCUUGGCUGCCUUGUAGCUUUAUAGGCCAAGCCAAAAAAAAAAAAAAAACAAAAACCCAUGGUAGGUCACCUAUUAUGUCCUGACAGGCACCCUUACCCCUCAGGCAUCCUGAAACCAGCUCCAGGACAGCAGAAAGCUUUGUGGGGGAGGAUAGAUGAGUACCUAGGGAACUGGGGAACAGAGAGAGAACCCAGGAGACAGGUCCCUACUCAAAUGUUACUGUAGGGUCCCUCCCAAUCCCAGCAGGACUGAGGCGAGCGUGGGGGAAACAGGCACCAGCAGGAUCUCACAGAGGACCUAGCCAGCCCCUACCUAGCCCAAAUAGCAAAGCUGGUCGAAUUAGGAAAAGACACCCCUACCUGGAAAUGCUUGUCUGCCACCUGCUGGAAAACUGUCAUAACAGCUACACAAAUCUACAAGGGGCUAGGAGAGAAAUAGGAGUUGUGCGAUGCACAAUUUGCACAACGACAGUGGCAAUCUCCCUGGUCAAUCUUCCUCUGGGGAGGGAGUCGGGCAGUGAAAACAAGCAUCCAGGAAGGAAGAAGGGGCUUAGCACCUCCUUCCCCAGGAGUUCGGUUGAUACAGUUCUCUGGAAGGCAGAGUGGACCAGGGCCCAGAUGAGCCCUGGGGAAAUAGGGCUCGGGUUCAGAGGCGCUCUCGGCGCCUGCCACGGCUUCCAAACUGCGCCGCUUCCUUCUGCGGCAGAAAAGGACUUUCAGAUGUUGUAGCGGCGGCGGCGGCAGCGGCGGCGGCAGCGACUCAGGACAGCGCCCCCUCCC